rnacentral:rRNA from 1 species
CAUAUCAAUAAGCGGAGGAAAAGAAACUAACAAGGAUUCCCCUAGUAACUGCGAGUGAAGCGGGAAAAGCUCAAAUUUAAAAUCUGGUAGUCUUUGGCUGCCCGAGUUGUAAUCUAGAGAAGCGUUAUCCGCGCUGGACCGUGUAUAAGUCUCCUGGAAUGGAGCGUCGUAGAGGGUGAGAAUCCCGUCUUUGACACGGACUACCAGGGCUUUGUGAUGCGCUCUCGAAGAGUCGAGUUGUUUGGGAAUGCAGCUCUAAAUGGGUGGUAAAUUCCAUCUAAAGCUAAAUAUUGGCGAGAGACCGAUAGCGAACAAGUACCGUGAGGGAAAGAUGAAAAGAACUUUGGAAAGAGAGUUAAACAGUACGUGAAAUUGUUGAAAGGGAAACGCUUGAAGUCAGUCGCGUUUGCCAGGAAUCAGCCUCGCUUUUGCUUGGUGUAUUUCCUGGUUUAACGGGUCAGCAUCAAUUUUGACCGGUGGAAAAAGGUCAGGGGAAUGUGGCAUCUUCGGAUGUGUUAUAGCCCCUGGUUGUAUACAUCGGUUGGGAUUGAGGAACUCAGCACGCCGUAAGGUCGGGUUUUUAACCACGUUCGUGCUUAGGAUGCUGGCAUAAUGGCUUUAAUCGACCCGUCUUGAAACACGGACCAAGGAGUCUAACAUGCCUGCGAGUGUUUGGGUGGAAAACCCGAGCGCGUAAUGAAAGUGAAAGUUGAGAUCCCUGUCGUGGGGAGCAUCGACGCCCGGACCAGACCUUUUGUGACGGAUCCGCGGUAGAGCAUGUAUGUUGGGACCCGAAAGAUGGUGAACUAUGCCUGAAUAGGGUGAAGCCAGAGGAAACUCUGGUGGAGGCUCGUA